UACGGGGGAGCAAGCGUUGUUCGGAUUUACUGGGCGUAAAGGGCGCGUAGGCGGCCACCGCAAGUCGGUUGUGAAAUCUCCGGGCUUAACCCGGAAAGGUCAAUCGAUACUGCGGGGCUAGAGUGCAGAAGGGGCAACUGGGAAUUCUCGGUGUAGCGGUGAAAUGCGUAGAUAUCGAGAGGAACACCUGCGGCGAAGGCGGGUUGCUGGGCUGACACUGACGCUGAAGCGCGAAAGCUAGGGGAGCGAACGGG
rnacentral:rRNA from 1 species